GGCGGGGGUGCGGGAGAGAGCCCGGCCGCCUGCGUCCCGGGCCGGGAGCCGCCGCCGAGGGCGGGAGGCUGCGCCUCAGGCGCCGGGACCGCGGGUGCCUCACACGGCGAAGGCAGCGGCCGCCUCGCUCUGUUGGCGCCGGGCCGAGCCGCCGGCCCGCGGCCCCUGAGGCAGCCUCUUUCGGUGUCAAGUGUUGAGGAUGCUGCGGGCUUUAGUGGUUGAAUGACUUAAUGAAGUAGCUUGACCGUCUCAUGCAGCAAUGUUUAAGAGGAUGUAGCGAGGUUUAGAUGUGUAAUGUGAAUCCUGCCGAAUUUGCAGGGCUGAUUUUUGUUUCUGUUGGGGAUCGCUUUUAUCCACCAAGCUUUUUAAACAGGAAUCUUCAGUUCUUAGGUUAAUACAUGUUACAUUAGCAUAACUCCUCAAGGUAUUCCUCAAAAUGGCAUGUUUUUACAGAAGUAGCUUGUAUCCUCAUUCCCUAACUUAGCAGUAGGCAGAAGCCCAGGCAGGUGCUGUCUGUUUCCUUUUCCUAGUACCUCUUGACUCCCUUCUUAGCCUUUAAACCUGGGUCAUAUGGCAGUCCCAGCUCUCGUCACUUAAAAUAUUUAUUGGCUUGUUAAACUGAACCACAUCGGCAGCUGUGAAGCCAAGAUUUGGUUUAGAAUUCUAACAGGGGACUCUAUGUUCUUUAGCAGAAGACAUAAAGCUAAUUUUGCCACAAUUUCCUAAGGAAAGAGGGAAUAAGGAGGCAGUGGCACAGUGCUGUCCUCAUUCGGAACAGGCAGCCUCAUUCCUUUAGAGCACUGAAGUAUUACUAAGCACACUCAUGAACCACAGCACCUGAAUAUUUUUUCUGUGAUCAGCUGUGAAAAAGGUGAGUGUGGACAUGUUAGAGCUGCCUAGAGGUUGUUCGGCAGUCCUUUCAGAGGAACGGGUAUGGCGGGAUAACUGUGCGAUGUCUCACGGCACAAGCCUUAAAGGACAUUCACUGGUGCUUAGGAAGUGGGAGUUCUGAAAAAUGGUAGGUGGAAAUACUUCCUCAAAGCGUGUAAUUAGAAGGAAAACGCCUGCCAGAGGAAAUCCUUCAGCAGGAUCCGAAGCAAGCAGAGCUGUGCAUGAACAACAAACCGGCCGAGUGCGUUUGUAACGAGAGCCAAAAAACCAUUCAGAGGAGAGAUUAAAGCAUAUGACUGAGGGUUCAAACUCAUCUCGAUGGGUAUGAGAGUCGUACUUCGCUGAGAUAUAGAAUAUUAAAGCCUGUCUUCUGCAGAGGUGUUGUGCUCUCCUUGAGUUGCCUGGUCCUGAGCCAUGUCAGGAUGGGGGCUGGACCAGCAGGGCUGUGAGCUUUGCCACAUGCCAGGCGGGAAGGUGUAAAAUCCUACUGCUGAUGGGCAGUGCUGCGAAGGCAAGAGUUCAGAAGUCUGCCUGCUGCACCCUGCUCCCUACACUGGAACGUGUACCAGGGAAGAGCAUCAGUUCUUCCGUGUGUGAAAUGGCAAAAGGGUGCAUAACGCCGUGUCUGCCUGCGCACCCGUGAAGCGCCAGAGGCUUGGAACGUGCAGUCGGUUCAGCAGCAGCAGGCUUUCCCCUGGCACUGGGUUUCAGGCUCUCUCAGAUGUUCUAGGAGUGUAUUUUCUUCGCUUUACAGAGAAACUGAAGGGAAGGAUGCAUAGUUGCCAGAACGUUGGGCAUUCCUGAGAUGGUGUACCCUGAAUGUUCAUUGGAAAGGCCAUUCACCAGGUCUUAUGAUUUCCUCUCACCUUUUUCCCCUCCCAAGUCUUGCUGUGAUCCAUUGGCUUUGUGUUUAUAUGGUCAUGUAAAAUGACAUGCCUUAGAGCAGUGUCCCUGCCUGUUGUUGAGAUUAAGUGUUGGUGAGUUCACCAGCUCCUCUUGGUGUUUCAGGUACCUGCGCUUAGAGGUUGUGUUUCAUUUCUGGUUUCAGUUUGACACGCAGCGCUUCGCAGCAAGGUUCACGCACUGCUGGAGUCCUCGUGUGUCAGGACCCACGUGUAGGGAUCAGAUUGUCCCUCAGAAUUCUGUUCCAUAAGCUGACAUCCUAAACCUUGCCUCGCCUUUUCUUUUUCAAGGGGAGAAGGUGUAAUUCCCUGGAUAAUCUGGGGGUUGAGAGUCUUCCUUUAAGUUCUCUCUGGUAUCUUGGCGUCCUUGUUGCGGAGACGCUUCCUGCUCUGAGCACAGCGGUUCGGUGCAGUUUAUUUAGCUAAACUGAAAGCAGCUGUGCUAGACUGAGAGUUGUUGUAUAAACAAACCAGUUCUUGUUUGGGUUUAUAUUCUUUAAAUUACCUCUUUCCAGUAUUUGUUGUUUCUUUGCUUAUCUGAAGGGAAUAGAUUUUGUUUACCAGGUAAACAGAGCCGUGUACCGCCCUGAAAUGAGCAGCAGCUCCCAGGCUGUGCUUGCUCCUGCGCUCCCAGGCGGCUGGGAUCCAACCUGUCCAGGAGCAGCCACAGGCUGCCUGUUCUCACUGCUGACACUCCUGCUGAUGGGAGUUGGGAUUCAGAUGGCACCAUAUCCCUGGACAGAAACCAAGGCAAGCACAGCUUUAAGUGGACCUUUAUGUAUGUUUGCUCUAGCACAUGUUUGAUCAUGAAACAAUCCCGUGGGGAUAGAAAUAAACACCCCCAAGUGGCCAGCUCCAGCAUUAGGAGGUAAAACUGGGGGGUAUCCACACUAGGAACCCCCGUUUGGCUGGGGUUUGAUAGAGGGUGAGGAGUUAGAGUGUUAUGGGGUUUGCAUAGAUAUCAUUACUGUUUCUGGCUGGCUUCAAAAUUCCCCUGCAUUCUAGUCGACAGGUAUAUAGCCCCCCCGGUGGGUGGGUGCGUUUGGGGAUUUUUUUCCUUUCUAUUUUAUUUGGUCUAGUGCUGUACUAGAGAAAUACUUGGUCUCCCUAGUGCUGCAGUCAGCUGGAAAGCUCUAGCUGGUGCAGAGCACUGACACAAAGCACCGAUCUCACCUCUUCUAGUUAAUUGUGGCAGGAUGUUUUGAUCCUAUUAAAUAUUCUCAUCUUUCUUUCUCCUCCAAGAAGGGUCCCAGGUUACUUAAAGUUUAACUGAAAGUUCCACACUUGGAUCCCAGGUUACUUUAAGUUCCAUAUAUAUCCUGGAAAAAGGACUGCAGGUGACAGCUGGAUUUAUGGCAUGCUGGAAUUCUUCACAAUACAGGUAAAGUAGUUAUUUGCCAGAUACAGACGUUUUUCAGAGGCUGGUGUUGAACAAUGAAAUGGAAUCUGUGAAGAAUUCAGGACCUCAAAGAACUUACUUCAAGUAAACCAGCAUUUUUUGAUCCAGUUUUUCUCCAGUAUGCAAACAAAACAGUUGUAUUAAAUAUAUUUAUAUAGAAGAAAACCUUUUGCACACUCCACCACUUAAAUUUGCUCCCCUUGGAAACAUGUAAGAACAUUUGGGCAGCUCUUAAUCACUUUUGUUGAUUCAGUGCUUUGAGGAUGCGCACCCAGCAUUGAUGCACACCAUGUUUUGAGCAAGCUUAGGAAAACAGUGUCAUGAGUUCAACUGAAACCUGGGCUUUUCUGGUGGCAUACAGAAGGUGAAGGAAUUGCUUUUUCCAUGCUCUGUUGCGGGGGGUGUAAACCCUUCAGUUGCUGCAGGAUACUCGGGAAGGAGUGACCUUGUGGAGCGGCGGCGGGUCCUCCACAACCACGCUUGUUCAGGCAGAUCCAGAAGAGCUUGAAGUGAGCAGAGAACAGUUACCUGUGCAGAGAAGUGCCUGCCUAUGGAUCUACAUCAAGUAACACACAGAGAGCUGGCUCCUCUUCUUCUUUUAGCACUGGCUUGGCCUCGGGCAGGUCACACUGGAUCGGGGAGGAGAUUUAAUGUAGCAUGUUAUAACUGAGUUUAUGCAGAGGGUCUCCUGCAUGUGUCAGUGCUAAGGUGAAGCAGAAGCAGAUGGUGACGUGUGUCAGGUCCAGUCAGCUUAUUUUCCAGGCAAACCAUGCCGUGAUUCACCAAAAACAAUGUUCUGUUGCCAAACACUUGCUUAGGAGAGAGCUUUUGUUCUGCAGGCUUUGGGCUUUUCACUGUUGAUGGUUUUGGCUGUAUGGAAAUGUGAAAUGAUGAGAUAUAAUAAAAUACGCCAUUAGUUA